rnacentral:rRNA from 1 species
AGAGUUUGAUCAUGGCUCAGAUUGAACGCUGGCGGCAGGCCUAACACAUGCAAGUCGAACGGUAACAGGAAGCAGCUUGCUGCUUCUCUGACGAGUGGCGGACGGGUGAGUAAUGUCUGGGAAACUGCCUGAUGGAGGGGGAUAACUACUGGAAACGGUAGCUAAUACCGCAUAACGUCGCAAGACCAAAGAGGGGGACCUUCGGGCCUCUUGCCAUCGGAUGUGCCCAGAUGGGAUUAGCUUGUUGGUGGGGUAACGGCUCACCAAGGCGACGAUCCCUAGCUGGUCUGAGAGGAUGACCAGCCACACUGGAACUGAGACACGGUCCAGACUCCUACGGGAGGCAGCAGUGGGGAAUAUUGCACAAUGGGCGCAAGCCUGAUGCAGCCAUGCCGCGUGUAUGAAGAAGGCCUUCGGGUUGUAAAGUACUUUCAGCGGGGAGGAAGGGAGUAAAGUUAAUACCUUUGCUCAUUGACGUUACCCGCAGAAGAAGCACCGGCUAACUCCGUGCCAGCAGCCGCGGUAAUACGGAGGGUGCAAGCGUUAAUCGGAAUUACUGGGCGUAAAGCGCACGCAGGCGGUUUGUUAAGUCAGAUGUGAAAUCCCCGGGCUCAACCUGGGAACUGCAUCUGAUACUGGCAAGCUUGAGUCUCGUAGAGGGGGGUAGAAUUCCAGGUGUAGCGGUGAAAUGCGUAGAGAUCUGGAGGAAUACCGGUGGCGAAGGCGGCCCCCUGGACGAAGACUGACGCUCAGGUGCGAAAGCGUGGGGAGCAAACAGGAUUAGAUACCCUGGUAGUCCACGCCGUAAACGAUGUCGACUUGGAGGUUGUGCCCUUGAGGCGUGGCUUCCGGAGCUAACGCGUUAAGUCGACCGCCUGGGGAGUACGGCCGCAAGGUUAAAACUCAAAUGAAUUGACGGGGGCCCGCACAAGCGGUGGAGCAUGUGGUUUAAUUCGAUGCAACGCGAAGAACCUUACCUGGUCUUGACAUCCACGGAAGUUUUCAGAGAUGAGAAUGUGCCUUCGGGAACCGUGAGACAGGUGCUGCAUGGCUGUCGUCAGCUCGUGUUGUGAAAUGUUGGGUUAAGUCCCGCAACGAGCGCAACCCUUAUCCUUUGUUGCCAGCGGUCCGGCCGGGAACUCAAAGGAGACUGCCAGUGAUAAACUGGAGGAAGGUGGGGAUGACGUCAAGUCAUCAUGGCCCUUACGACCAGGGCUACACACGUGCUACAAUGGCGCAUACAAAGAGAAGCGACCUCGCGAGAGCAAGCGGACCUCAUAAAGUGCGUCGUAGUCCGGAUUGGAGUCUGCAACUCGACUCCAUGAAGUCGGAAUCGCUAGUAAUCGUGGAUCAGAAUGCCACGGUGAAUACGUUCCCGGGCCUUGUACACACCGCCCGUCACACCAUGGGAGUGGGUUGCAAAAGAAGUAGGUAGCUUAACCUUCGGGAGGGCGCUUACCACUUUGUGAUUCAUGACUGGGGUGAAGUCGUAACAAGGUAACCGUAGGGGAACCUGCGGUUG